rnacentral:rRNA from 1 species
CGAACCGAGCGAACGUUGUUCGGAAUCACUGGGCUUAAAGGGCGCGUAGGCGGGCUGCCGCGUCCGGGGUGAAAUCCCACGGCUCAACCGUGGAACGGCCCGGGUACGGGCGGCCUCGAGGAAGUAGGGGCGUGCGGAACUGUGGGUGGAGCGGUGAAAUGCGUUGAUAUCCACAGGAACUCCGGUGGCGAAGGCGGCGCGCUGGACCUUUUCUGACGCUGAGGCGCGAAAGCCAGGGGAGCGAACGGGAUUAGAUACCCCGGUAGUCCUGGCCCUAAACGAUGAGAACUGGGUAGUAGCCCGGGCAUGGGGUUACUGCCGCAGCCAAAGUGCUAAGUUCUCCGCCUGGGGAGUAGUGGUCGCAAGGCUAG